AACGAACGCUGGCGGCGUGGCUAAGACAUGCAAGUCGAACGGUAGGUUAUAGCAAUAUGGCCUAUAGUGGCGGACGGGUGAGUAAUAAAUAGGUAACGUACCCUGGGCACGGGGAUAGCGUCGUCCCGAGCAAUCGGGGGCUUUGCGAAAGUGACGGUAAUACCCGGUAAUGUCCUCGAGUGGCAUCGCUUGAGGACCAGAGGUGGGGACCUUCGGGCCUAUCGGCCUGGGAGCGGCCUACUUCCUANCAGCUAGUUGGUGAGGUAACGGCUCACCAAGGCUUCGACGGGUAACCGGACUGAGAGGUCGGCCGGUCACAUCGGGACUGAGACACUGCCCGGACAUCUACGGAUGGCUGCAGUAACGAAUAUUCCGCAAUGGGCGCAAGCCUGACGGAGCGACGCCGCGUGGAGGACGAAUUCCCUCGGGAUGUAAACUCCUUUUAGGGUUAGGAAAGCGAAGGGUGCUAACACCACUCUGAGUUGAUCUAGCCCAGAAUAAGCAUCGGCUAAUUCCGUGCCA
rnacentral:rRNA from 1 species